AUGUCUUUGAUGUUGGUAUGUUGCUAUUGUUCUUUUUUUUUAUUACUUUCUUUAAAUAAAAAAAUUUAAAAUGAUUCCAUUUCCUAGAAACGUGGCCAAGUCCUCGUAUUUGUCUGACUUCAAAAUGUUUACCCACCUCAUUUUCCUUGCUUUCCCUAUCUCCUACAAUAAAAUUAUAAUAGAUGGCAAGCAGUAGACUUGAAGGGCAUCAUUUACUAAGGUUUGUUCACGGGUUUUGUCAAUCUGGGACUGCGGGACAGCUAAGGGAAGAAGACAGCUACAGUGGACAGUAAGAGCGGCGCAGACGCACUGCUGGACAGAAGUGAAUACUGAGGCUAGUCCCACUCCCAACUUGAAAGGACUCGGCACUCCCAUAUUCUUUGCCUUAAGGCCUUGGGGACUGACAGGACCAUCCCGAGAAGCAGGAGCCUUAGAAUACACAGAGAGACGCGUGACAUCACAGUGCGGGUCGGCUCACCCGGCUGCGGAGGACACAGCCCCGCGGUAUCCGGACUCUGGGAGCCGAGAGAGUCAGCGCUGUAACGCACUGUGAACCCCCAGCACCGAGGACCGGGAGCUACGUCCGAAGGCAAAGAAAGAUGGAAGUUCAAAAAUGGCCUUCAAAGCCUCAUGCGCUUGGAAGGUGACUGAACUCGGGGUGACGGGUGACCUGGCGCUAAGAGAUGGGGUCCCAUCGAAGGGGCAUCAUGGAGGAGCGACCCUGACAGGCGGAGCUCUCUUCUCGGACCCUCCAGGCUGGGCUUCCCGGCGGCCACUCGCGGGCAGCUUUCCCCUGGGCCCGCCCUUCCGCUACGCAAGCUUGAUCCACAGCAGCCAACCGUGCAAGGACUGAAGUUCCCAAAACGUGAGCAAAAAUAAACCUGCUCUCUUUGAAA